UACAGAGGGGGCAAGCGUUGUUCGGAAUUACUGGGCGUAAAGGGCGCGUAGGCGGCCUUCUAAGUCGAACGUGAAAUCCCCGGGCUCAACCCGGGAACUGCGUCCGAUACUGGAAGGCUCGAAUCCGGGAGAGGGAUGCGGAAUUCCAGGUGUAGCGGUGAAAUGCGUAGAUAUCUGGAGGAACACCGGUGGCGAAGGCGGCAUCCUGGACCGGUAUUGACGCUGAGGCGCGAAAGCCAGGGGAGCAAAGCGGG
rnacentral:rRNA from 1 species